rfam:Gossypium hirsutum cultivar TM-1 chromosome 1, whole genome shotgun sequence
UGUUAAAAAUUUCAUUUCUUUGUACUGCUAAAACUGGCAUGGUUGACAAAAUAAUUAGACAAUCACAUAUGACAUGCCACGUGUACCUUAUAUUAACGUACAUAGAUCAGUUUUUAAUAGUAAAAAUGGAUGAAAUUUUUAACA